GAUGAACGCUGGCGGCGUGCUUAACACAUGCAAGUCGAACGGAAAGGCUCCUGCUUGCAGGGGUACUCGAGUGGCGAACGGGUGAGUAACACGUGGGUGAUCUGCCCUGCACUUCGGGAUAAGCCUGGGAAACUGGGUCUAAUACCGGAUAGGACGAUGGUUUGGAUGCCAUUGUGGAAAGUUUUUUCGGUGUGGGAUGAGCUCGCGGCCUAUCAGCUUGUUGGUGGGGUAAUGGCCUACCAAGGCGUCGACGGGUAGCCGGCCUGAGGGGGUGUACGGCCACAUUGGGACUGAGAUACGGCCCAGACUCCUACGGGAGGCAGCAGUGGGGAAUAUUGCACAAUGGGCGGAAGCCUGAUGCAGCGACGCCGCGUGGGGGAUGACGGCCUUCGGGUUGUAAACUCCUUUCGCUAGGGACGAAGCGCAAGUGACGGUACCUGGAGAAGAAGCACCGGCUAACUACGUG
rnacentral:rRNA from 1 species